UCAUGCAUACACUACAGCAGGCGUAUGUGGGCAAGGAAUGGGGAACCUUCAUUUUUUUUUCUUUUUUUCAGAGCUGAGGACCGAACCCAGGGCCUUGCGCUUGCUAGGCAAGCGCUCUACCACUGAGCCAAAUCCCCAACCCCAUGGGGAACCUUCAAAUACAGCUACAUUGAGAGCCAGAGUUUCAAUACAGGAGCCUGGGGUCCAUAAACAUUAGUCCACAGCAUCCCUGCCCUCUCUCUUUCAACUUCCAUCAUCUCGUUUGUCCUCAGACAGUGUCUCACUAUGUAGGAUCCUAGCUGACCUAGGAUCUCACACCUGCUUCUGCCCUUCCAAGUACUGGAUAAAGACCUGUGCCACCAUA
rnacentral:lncRNA from 1 species